rnacentral:rRNA from 1 species
ACAAGGAUUCCCCUAGUAACUGCGAGUGAACCGGGAAAAGCUCAAAUUUUGAAUCUGGCGGUCUUUCGGCCGUCCGAGUUGUAAUCUAGAGAAGCGUCUUCCGCGCUGGACCGUGUAUAAGUUUCCUGGAAUGGAACGUCGUAGAGGGUGAGAAUCCCGUCUUUGACACGGACUGCCAGGGCUAUGCGAUGCGCUCUCGACGAGUCGAGUUGUUUGGGAAUGCAGCUCAAAUAGGGUGGUAAAUUCCAUCUAAAGCUAAAUACAGGCGAGAGACCGAUAGCGAACAAGUACCGUGAGGGAAAGAUGAAAAGAACUUUGGAAAGAGAGUUAAACAGUACGUGAAAUUGCUGAAAGGGAAACGCUUGAUGUCAGUCGCGUCGGCCGGGGAUCAGCCUUGCUCUUUUGCUCGGCGUACUUCCUGGUCGACGGGUCAGCAUCGGUUUUGACCGUCGGAAAAUGGCUCGAGGAAUGUGGCACUCUUCGGGGUGUGUUAUAGACUCGGGUCGAAUGCGACGGUCGGGACCGAGGAACUCAGCACGACCCUUUGGGGUUCGGGGCUUCGGCUCACGUUUGACGUGCUUAGGAUGCUGGCAUAAUGGCCUUAAGCGACCCGUCUU